rnacentral:rRNA from 1 species
GACGAACGCUGGCGGCGUGCCUAAUACAUGCAAGUUGAGCGCUGAAGGUUGGUACUUGUACCAACUGGAUGAGCAGCGAACGGGUGAGUAACGCGUGGGGAAUCUGCCUUUGAGCGGGGGACAACAUCUGGAAACGAAUGCUAAUACCGCAUAAAAACUUUAAACACAAGUUUUAAGAUUGAAAGAUGCAAUUGCAUCACUCAAAGAUGAUCCCGCGUUGUAUUAGCUAGUUGGUGAGGUAAAGGCUCACCAAGGCGAUGAUACAUAGCCGACCUGAGAGGGUGAUCGGCCCAAUUGGGACUGAGACCAGGCCCAAACUCCUUCGGGAGGCAGCAGUAGGGGAUCUUCGGCAAUGGACGAAAGUCUGACCGAGCAACGCCGCGUGGGUGGAGAAGGUUUUCGGAUCGUAAAACUCUGUUGGUAGGGAAGAACGUUGGUGAGAGUGGAAAGCUCAUCAAGUGACGGUAACUACCCAGAAAGGGACGGCUAACUACGUG